AGGAUCAUUCAUAAUAAGUGUUUUAUGGCACUUUUUAAAUCCAUAUCCACCUUGUGUGCAAUGUCAGUCGAUCUUCUUCAUGGAGAUCGGCCAAACAUCAACCUUACCUUUUAACUCUUUGUCUGAAAAAUAUUAUGAAUAAACAAUUCAAAUACAACUUUCAACAACGGAUCUCUUGGCUCUCGCAUCGAUGAAGAACGCAGCGAAAUGCGAUACGUAAUGUGAAUUGCAGAAUUCAGUGAAUCAUCGAAUCUUUGAACGCAUAUUGCGCUCUUUGGUAUUCCGAAGAGCAUGCUUGUUUGAGUAUCAGUAAACACCUCAAAGCCUUUGAUUUUUUUUGAAAGCUUUGGACUUGAGCAAUCCCAACACCAAUCUUUUUUAAGAUGGGCGGCGGGUUGCUUGAAAUGCAGGUGCAGCUGGACAUUCUCCUGAGCUAAAAGCAUAUUCAUUUAGUCCCGUCAAAGGGAUUAUUACUUUUGCUGCAGCUAACAUAAAGGGAGUUUGACCGUAUUGGCUGACUGAUGCAGGAUUUCACAAGGGUCGGCAACGAUUCUUGUUAAACUCGAUCUCAAAUCAAGUAAGACUACCCGCUGAACUUAAGCAUAUCAAUAAGCGGAGGAAAAGAAACUAACAAGGAUUCCCCUAGUAACGGCGAGUGAAGCGGGAUGAGCUCAAAUUUAAAAUCUGGCUGGUUUAC
rnacentral:rRNA from 1 species